rnacentral:pre_miRNA from 1 species
GACAUACUUUUUCUGUCCAACAAAAGAUGUUUCAAGUUUGUCAAAUUUUGGAUGUAUUUAGACAUGACUUAGCUAGUGUAUAGAUGCAUUCAAAUUUGGUCAAAGUUGAAACAUCUUUUGUUGGAUGGAGGAGUACACA